GGGUUGUGAGGUUAAGCGACUAAGCGUACACGGUGGAUGCCCUGGCAGUCAGAGGCGAUGAAGGACGUGCUAAUCUGCGAUAAGCGCCGGUAAGGUGAUAUGAACCGUUAUAACCGGCGAUUUCCGAAUGGGGAAACCCAGUGUGAUUCGUCACACUAUCAUUAACUGAAUCCAUAGGUUAAUGAGGCGAACCGGGGGAACUGAAACAUCUAAGUACCCCGAGGAAAAGAAAUCAACCGAGAUUCCCCCAGUAGCGGCGAGCGAACGGGGAGGAGCCCAGAGCCUGAAUCAGCAUGUGUGUUAGUGGAAGCGUCUGGAAAGGCGCGCGAUACAGGGUGACAGCCCCGUACACAAAAGCGCAUGUGCUGUGAGCUCGAUGAGUAGGGCGGGACACGUGGUAUCCUGUCUGAAUAUGGGGGGACCAUCCUCCAAGGCUAAAUACUCCUGACUGACCGAUAGUGAACCAGUACCGUGAGGGAAAGGCGAAAAGAACCCCGGCGAGGGGAGUGAAAAAGAACCUGAAACCGUGUACGUACAAGCAGUGGGAGCACCCUUCGGGGUGUGACUGCGUACCUUUUGUAUAAUGGGUCAGCGACUUAUAUUCUGUAGCAAGGUUAACCGUAUAGGGGAGCCGGAGGGAAACCGAGUCUUAACCGGGCGUUAAGUUGCAGGGUAUAGACCCGAAACCCGGUGAUCUAGCCAUGGGCAGGUUGAAGGUUGGGUAACACUAACUGGAGGACCGAACCGACUAAUGUUGAAAAAUUAGCGGAUGACCUGUGGCUGGGGGUGAAAGGCCAAUCAAACCGGGAGAUAGCUGGUUCUCCCCGAAAGCUAUUUAGGUAGCGCCUCGUGAAUUCAUCUCCGGGGGUAGAGCACUGUUUCGGCUAGGGGGCCAUCCCGGCUUACCAACCCGAUGCAAACUGCGAAUACCGGAGAAUGUUAUCACGGGAGACACACGGCGGGUGCUAACGUCCGUCGUGAAGAGGGAAACAACCCAGACCGCCAGCUAAGGUCCCAAAGUCAUGGUUAAGUGGGAAACGAUGUGGGAAGGCCCAGACAGCCAGGAUGUUGGCUUAGAAGCAGCCAUCAUUUAAAGAAAGCGUAAUAGCUCACUGGUCGAGUCGGCCUGCGCGGAAGAUGUAACGGGGCUAAACCAU
rnacentral:rRNA from 1 species